rnacentral:rRNA from 1 species
AGAGUUUGAUCCUGGCUCAGAUUGAACGCUGGCGGCAUGGCUAAAACAUGCAAGUCGCACGAACCCGCAAGGGUUAGUGGCGAAAGGGUGAGUACAAGUAUCGAACGUACCCUGAGGUGGAGGAUAGGCAUGGGAAACUGUGCGUAAUACUUCAUGAUCUCUACGGAGCAAAGCUUCGGCGCCUUGGGAGCGGCGAUACACCUAUCAGGUAGUUGGCGGGGUAAAGGCCCACCAAGCCAUAGACGGGUAACCGGUAUGAGAGUACGGCCGGUCACAUCGGGACUGAGACACUGCCCGGACUCCUACGGGAGGCUGCAGUAACGAAUAUUCCACAAUGCACGAAAGUGUGAUGGAGCAAUGCCGCGUGCGGGAUGAAGCAUCUUUGGUGUGUAAACCGCUGUCAGGAGACAGAAAUACUGAUCGUCUCCAGAGGAAGUGGCGACUAACUCUGUGCCAGCCGCCGCGGUAAUUC